UACGUAGGGCGCAAGCGUUGUCCGGAAUUAUUGGGCGUAAAGAGCUCGUAGGCGGUUUGUCGCGUCUGCUGUGAAAUCCCGAGGCUCAACCCCGGACUUGCAGUGGGUACGGGCAGACUAGAGUGUGGUAGGGGAGACUGGAAUUCCUGGUGUAGCGGUGGAAUGCGCAGAUAUCAGGAGGAACACCGAUGGCGAAGGCAGGUCUCUGGGCCAUUACUGACACUGAGAAGCGAAAGCAUGGGGAGCGAACAGG
rnacentral:rRNA from 1 species